UACGGGGGGGGCAAGCGUUGUCCGGAAUCAUUGGGCGUAAAGAGCGUGUAGGCGGCUCGAUAAGUCUGCUGUGAAAGUCCAGGGCUCAACCCUGGAAGGCCGGUGGAAACUGUCGGGCUAGAGUCCGGAAGAGGCGAGUGGAAUUCCCGGUGUAGCGGUGAGAUGCGCAGAUAUCGGGAGGAACACCAAUGGCGAAGGCAGCUCGCUGGGACGGUACUGACGCUGAGACGCGAAAGCGUGGGGAGCAAACAGG
rnacentral:rRNA from 1 species